AUAACGGUCCUAAGGUAGCGAAAUUCCUUGUCGGGUAAGUUCCGACCCGCACGAAUGGUGUAACGAUCUGGGCACUGUCUCAACUACCCACCCGGCGAAAUUGUAGUACCGGUGAAGAUGCCGGUUACCUGCGGCAAGACGGAAAGACCCCAUGGAGCUUUACUGUAGCCUGAUAUUGGGUUUCGGAAAUCUAUGUACAGGAUAGGCGGGAGACUAGGAAACAUGAGCGUCAGCUUGUGUGGAGUCGAUGUUGGGAUACCGCCCUUAGGUUUCUGGAAUUCUAACCUGCGGCCGUGAAUCCGGUCGGGGGACAUUGUCAGGUGGGCAGUUUGACUGGGGCGGUCGCCUCCUAAAAGGUAACGGAGGCGCCCAAAGGUUCCCUCAGAAUGGUUGGAAAUCAUUCGCAGAGUGUAAAGGCAUAAGGGAGCUUGACUGCGAGACCUACAAGUCGAGCAGGGACGAAAGUCGGGCUUAGUGAUCCGGUGGUUCCGCAUGGAAGGGCCAUCGCUCAACGGAUAAAAGCUACCCUGGGGAUAACAGGCUUAUCUCCCCCAAGAGUCCACAUCGACGGGGAGGUUUGGCACCUCGAUGUCGGCUCAUCGCAUCCUGGGGCUGUAGUAGGUCCCAAGGGUUGGGCUGUUCGCCCAUUAAAGCGGUACGCGAGCUGGGUUCAGAACGUCGUGAGACAGUUCGGUCCCUAUCCGUCGCGGGCGCAGGAAAUUUGAGAGGAUCUGUCCUUAGUACGAGAGGACCGGGAUGGACAUACCGCUGGUGUACCAGUUGUUCUGCCAAGGGCAUCGCUGGGUAGCUAUGUAUGGAUGAGAUAAACGCUGAAAGCAUCUAAGUGCGAAACUCACCUCGAGAUAAGAUUUCCCACUCCUUUAUGGAGUUAAGACCCCUGAGAGAUGAUCAGGUAGAUAGGAUGGAAGUGGAAGUGCGGCGACGCAUGGAGCGGACCAUUACUAAUCGGUCGAGGACUUAACCAA
rnacentral:rRNA from 1 species